GCUUCCCUAAAGCCUGAAGAAACUGGCGAUCCUCCAACAGUUAGUAAUGGUAAACUUUCUGUUGCAGUUAGCCAAAAUGUGAUGAGACAGCAACAACAGAAAGCCAAUCCACCUUCUAUGAUACAACAAAGAAGAGAUGACAGGGAUUUUAAUUAUACAAAGACUGCCAUCCCAGUUGUAGGAUCUCCAGAAUCUGGGAAUAAAAAUCUGCAUCCUUUGAACAGAAUACAAUCAAAGAUAGAGUGGUUAAAACCUCCGCGAACUGCAGUGCUUGCUGAGAAAAGAUGGCCAAGUGCCGGAACAAGUCCUGUUUCUUAUUCUUUGGCAUCACCUUUG
rnacentral:misc_RNA from 1 species